CACUGAAUUCACUCUCCCUCUGGAGUGCGAGGGAUGUAAGUACGGGUGGGCUAUGGGGGGAAUAUGGGCAGCACGGAGUUGGAGGCCAUGCCACAAGUCACCAACAAGCUGAGCGUGCUAAUGUCGGACAUCCAAUACGCCAACAAUCAACAUUAGCCAUCUGGUACUCCGGCAGGUUAAUGGCAUUGCCAUAGUAGUGGUUAUAACUCCUGCAGCAGAGGGGUUAAACUCUGCAUGUGAAGUGUUUUAUACUAAAACAUUGAAUGUGUAGACUCCUGGUACCACGACCACUUUAUACAACUGAAGUGGUCAUGGUGCUUGGAUUAACCUAUUAAAUUCCUCUUCCCCAUGUUACCUGCAGCAAGUUAUUUUAAAAAAAUAAUCAAAUAAGAAUUGGUAUUUGUACAUUUAGUGGAAAAAAACAUAGAAGAAACCAUAAAUAUUAAUAAAGAAUUCAUAUCUAUAUUUGAAAUUAUCUACUGAAAAUGCAAACAGCGGCGUACACAUGCUUUUAUAUGUUGCGUUAAGGUGUGUUGCUUAGAAACCAGGUGAGACUUUGUUACAGAUGCAAAUUGCAGAGAGUGAAUUAAAUUGCUCAGACAGAUCCUGGGUAAAUGGAAGCGGUAUUUCUCCCAGAUGGGGGCUAGUCUGCGUCUUUAUUGAAUCAUGCUGGCUUCUCUGAAAAGGGACAUGUAUAGCUCAUACAAGGGACGAGGCAAUGAGAGAUCACAAUGUUCCCAUCGAGCCCAGCAAUUUCUCGACUCUUUCAUUGCUAGAGAAAUCUACACAGUGCCUUUAGCAGUCUGAAUUCUGCAAUAAGACACAGUUACUUCGAAUCCGCAAAAACCUAUAGCAACACUGUGUAUUGAAUAUUCCACGAUAGAUUAUAAUUACGUGGGGGAUUGUUUUUAAUUAUAAAUGCUGCCAGUAUUGAAAACGGAAAUGACAGCAACAGAUUGCAAGAAUUUUACUGAUAAGUGUUGCAUCUAAAACAGAGUGCAAGCUCUGAAGAACAGAUUACACAAUUUAAAUCAGAUUGCAAGCCUUUUGCAGACCAUAGGAUCUAGCAGUUCAGAGCACAUCGUGGGAUCUGCAAUGGGAUCUGCAAUACAUUCAUGGUUCUUUACUAACGUUAGCAUUCAAAGUGAAGUCAAAAGGAAUUUCAAAAUUUAAGGUAAAAAUAGCCGAAGUUGAAGCAUUCUCCAAUUCAGCUAUGCUUCCAAUCAGUGUUAAUUUUGGCAACUAACAAGUUUAGUAAAAUGUUAGUCGGCUAAAACUAGACUAAAAUUAAACAAUUCAGAUACCUAAAAUACGACUAAAACUAAAAUGGCAUUUUAGUCAAAAGACUAUGACUAAAACUAAAUUGAAAUUUGCCGCCACAACAGAGGGGUUGUGGAAGGGGCAAAAGAGACAGACCAGGGUUUGGGAGAGAGACACCUAGAGGGGCUGAGAGGACACAAAGAGACACAGAGGGGUUGGUUGGAGAAGAGGUAAAAGAGACAAAUAGAAGUUUUAACUAAACCCGUUAAAUUUUAGCUGUGUCGACUAAAGUCUACUGGGGAUCUAAUCGACUAAAACCAGACUAAAACUAAAACAAUUUAGAUGAUUAAAAUACAACUAAAUCUAUAAUGGAUUUUUAGUCAAAAGACUACGACUAAAACUAAAUUGAAAUUUUCCGCCAAAAUUAACCGUGCAUAGCAACACUACUUGGACCCUAUAAAUAUCUAAAUCUCACUCAACUUUACACCUAAUUUAACUACGUUUAAGUAGAGGUGACAAGUUAACAACUACAAAUUCAAACUACAUCUUAAAAAACCCAUACAUUUAUUCUAUACUUCAGGAAACAUUUUAGAAAGUUUCCUGGUAGAGUUGCCAUGACAACACCAACCUGUUUAUAGUGUCCUUGUAGAGUUGCUAAGGCGACAUAAACACAUCUUGCCACAGCAGCUCAACCAGGGCACUCUAAAUGUUCACUUAAAUGUACGAAAAAAUUGUUGUUUUUUUCUGUAACAUGUUUUGAGAGCUUGCAGUCGUUAACUUGUCUUUCCAAGUUUACAUCAAGUUAAGGCCAGUGUAAAGUUGAGCGAAAUUAACGACCACACGUGAUAAUUUUAACGAUCUAGCACGGAAACUUGGCGUUACAAGUAGAAGUAUGAGUGUAGUAUGAAUGAGUUAAUCCACGUAACCAGGCUUCAUUUGUAGCAAUUAGUUGCUCUGUCAGCUUGGUUAUAUACCUCACGUACCAUUUGUCUGUGUAAAACUCACUUAUAUUGGACUACACCACGGACUAUCUUUGGCCCUAUUUCUCUGCAGUGACGACACGGAGAGGAUACUGCAGUGGGAUAUGGGACGAUGUUAAAAAAAGAGAUGAAAAUCUGGAAGCAAUCUGUUCCCCAUCAAUACUUUGUUCGUACCGCUCCAGGAGAGCGAGGCUGCGUUGUACGGAGAACUAAUUAAGACCAGACCAAUAAGAAAAAAGUUUCUCAUCACCAUGGUAAACAAGUCUAUGAUAAACAAAGCACUUCAGCAGCCAAGAGGCUGGUCAAGUGCAUGUUCUACAAAUUCCUAAGAAACAAAUUGGUGUUUUAUUUUAGCAAAGGAAAUCGUUGAUAUCUUGGUAAACACAUUAGUCAUGUUUUUUUUCCCCCUUCCUUUUAUUAUUAUUUAUUUUAACCCUUGCCGCUGAUUGGGUUUAGAUUCGAAGUGGCCAACAGAUAAAUCUGUCUCUAGGUGUUGCGGAGUCUUCAGAAAAAGCAUCAUGGGACUUUUAGUUCCACAAUUCUUUGUCAACAGUAACCCUAGGCUGGCAGAGGAUUGUAGGAGUUACAGUUCCACAACAGCUGUCUCUGUUGGCUACCCCUUAUUUAAACUGAAACCAAAAUUGCACCAUUUCAAGGAAAACUGUCCAACAGAAAAGUAGAAAUUUACAAUAUUUAGCUCUGUCCUGGUACUAAGCGACUUCAUCUUUGCUCUGUAUGCUCUGUGUUCGUUUUGGCGUCAAUUUUAGUCUAGUUUUAGUCGACUGAAUCUCCAGUAGAUUUUAGUCAACACAACUAAAAUCUAAUGGGUUUAGUUAAAUUCUCUAUCUGUCUCUUUUGCCCCUUCCCCAGCCCUUCUGUGUCUCUUUGUGCCUUCCCAGCUCCAAUAGGUGUCUCUCUCCCAAGCCCCGGUCUGUCUCUUUUGCCCCUUCCACAGCCCCUCUGUGUCUCUUUGUGUCCUCCCAACCCCUCUAGGCAGUGGCGUACACACGACCCAUGGGGCCCCGGUGCGAAAAUUGAUCCGUGGGCCCCCCCCCGUGCUUACUCUGCGCGGGCCGGGGCCGCAACACAUGGCGGCGGGCACCCUGCAACCGCGCUAUGUACGCCAAUGCAUGCAGAUGCACGCACACUUAAAGGACCACUACAGGCACCCAGAUCACAUCAGCUCAAUGAAGUGGUCUGGGUGCCAGGUCCCUCUAGUUUUAACCCUGCAGCUGAAAACAUAGCAGUUUCAGAGAAACUGCAAUGAUUCACUGAGGGUUAAUCCAGCCUCUAGUGGCUGUCUCACUGACAACCGCUAGAGGAGCUUCUGCGAUUCUCACUGUGAAAAUCACAGUGAGAAGACACUCUAGUCCAUAGGAAAGCAUUGUGUAAUGCUUUCCUAUGGGUGGUUUGAAUGCGCGCGCAGCCCUUGCCACGCAUGCGCAUUCGGAGCUGAGAGGCGGAGGGUUCCCCACACACACAAACACACUCAGAAACAGAAACACUCAGUAACACACUCACUGACACUCACUAGCAGACACACACUCAAUAACAGACACACAAAUUAACACACUCACUGACACUCACUAGCAGGCACACACUCAAUAACAGACACACAUAAACUAACACACUCACUGACAUUCAGUAGCAGACACACAUACACACUAACACACACACACACUAACACAUACACAACUAACACACACACACACACACUAACACACGAACACACACACACAUGUUUUUUUUUAUUUAAUCCCUCAGCCUCCUUACCUUUGGGAGAGCUGAGGGGAUUCCCUGGGGUCCAGUGGUGUUGCUGGCCCUGGUGUCACCCGGCGGAUGGGCUGGCGGGCGCGCGAGGGAGCACUCUCCCCUGAGUGCUCCCUGUUCAGCUCCCUUGCACGCCGCGUACUGAUACCGGAGCCGGAAUAUGAUGUCAUAUUCCGGCUCCGGCAUCAGUAUGCGGCACGCGAGGGAGCUGUCCAGAGAGCGCUCAGCCAGGGAGAGUGCUCCAUCGCACGCGCGCCAGCCUGUCCGCCGGGUGAUACCAAGGCCAGCCUCAGGGGGCCCUGAGGUUGCCAGCUCCUGGGCCCCCCAGGAGAAGAGGCUGGCCACACUGGGUACAUACCGGUCGCAGUUGCGACCCAUGCGACCCCGGUAUGUACGCCACUGCCUCUAGGUGUCUCUCUCCCAAGCCCCGGUCUGUCUCCUUUGCCCCUUCCAUAGCCCCUCUGUGUCUCUUUGUGUCCUGCCAGCCCCUAUAGGUGUCUCUCUCUUUUACUCCUUGCACAGCCUCUUUGUGCAGCGUUAAUUUUGGCGUUUUAGUCAUAGUCUUUUGACUAAAUAUCGAUUUUAGUUUUAGUCUUAUUUUAGUCAUCUUAAUUUUUUAGUUUUAAUCUAGUUUUAGUCGACUAAAUCUCUUUAGUUUGACUAAAAUUGUUAGGUGACAAAAUUAACACUGCUCUGUAUCAGUCGUUGUAUAAACUCUGCCCAAUAUUUCUACAAUAUAUCUAGAAUAAUGAUCCUGAUGUAGCCAAGACCUCUUUGGGUUUAGGAAGUCUGGGACAGUGUAUCUAAGUUCUAGCCAAGAAGUGGAUCAUUAAUAGCCAGGGGAAAUUACUGAGAUUUGCCCUCUCUUAAACCAAUCACUACUCCCUAGUAAAACUCUAAACCCUAUUAAAAGUUCUGGCUAUGGAACACAUGACAAAAUAUAUUUGAUCAGUCCAGAGCCACUCAGAAUUCACUGAGAACUGCUUAGAUUCCUGUGAUGUUAUUUACGCAACAACCCAGAAUCCCAGCGAGCAGUCGUGAUCAGACCUUAAGUACCUGACUUUCACAUGCACCAUAUUUUCUGGGCUAUGAAAUCAUACACACAAAAAAAUCAUAAUAUCCAAACUUUAUCAUUGGUGUUUCAAAAACAUAGCAUUAAAUGAACACUAUUAACAGCCAAACAAUUUUAGCUUAAUUAAGUGGUUUUGAUUUAUAGAUCAUGCCCCUACAGUCUCAAUGCUCAAAUUUCUGUAAUUUAGUAGCUGGAUCACUUUGUUUAUGCUGUCAUACCUCCCCUGCUUGUCACCAACAUAAUUACCCUAAAAGAGAGAUCUACUGUUUAAUCCUCCCUUAUUGUACAGUGUGUUUAAUUUAGAAUUUCUUAUCUCUUGCUCAGUUAAUAGCCUUUUAGAGUCUACUGAAGCCACAUGUGUGAUUAAAGUUCAAUUAACAGAGCAGAAAUUAAGAACCUCUAAACUAAACAUACUGUGCUCUCACAUAUGAUUGAAAAUUAAACCAUAUUUUCACGCAGGCUUUGUCAGUCACAGCCAGGGGAGGUGUGGCUGGGGCUGCAUAAACAGGAAAAAAAGUGAUUUAACUCUUAGAUAACAGAGAAUUGAGCAGUGAGACUGCAGGGGCAUGAUCUAUACACUAAAACUGGGGACUAUGGUGUCCAUUUAAUUUCUGCCCCAUUGUGUUGGUGGAUAUCAAAAGGGUUAAUCAGUAAAAAAACAAUACUUUUCCUUUCUCUUCCAGGCUCUCUCAGCACCUUGGAUGGAAAUAUGCCUGGCAUGCUCCAAAGAGAUCAUUUAUAAUUGGCAAGCGAUGAAGGCUGGAUAACGCCAACUUGUACAAGCAAAACAAUUCUCUUUAACUGAAUGUUUCUGUUUUCUUUAUCCCUUGUGUCUAACUUUUAGUUGGAGAACACUCUUGACAAUUGAGACCAUGGCAAGCUCCAACCAGGAGAACAUCUCAGAA